CCAGACUAUUUUCAGGACUUUUAUUUUGAAAACAACAUUGUGCGUCAGGUGGAUUACAGCUCUGCCUUGUCAUAAGGUUGCACGUUUCAUUUCGAAUGUUUAUGACAAUAUGGCGGAAGGAGAGGAGCCGGAGAAGAAAAGAAGGAGAAUAGAGGAGCUGAAUGAGAAUAUGGUUGUGGAUGGAGGGAGUGGGGAUCACACAGACUGGCAGGGAAGAUGGGACCAUGUCAAAAAGUUCUUGGAGAGAGUUGGACCCUUCACUCAUCCGGAUUUUGAACCCAGCACUGAGUCUCUCCAGUUUUUACUGGACACAUGCAAAAUUCUGGUUAUUGGAGCUGGUGGACUUGGUUGUGAGCUGCUCAAAGAUCUGGCCUUGUCAGGUUUUCGGCACAUUCAUGUGGUGGACAUGGACACCAUUGAUGUUUCUAACCUCAACAGACAGUUCCUCUUCAGACCAAAGGAUGUGGGCCGACCAAAGGCAGAGGUUGCAGCAGACUUUGUAAAUGGCAGGGUCCCAGGCUGCAAUGUUGUCCCACAUUUUAAGAAAAUCCAGGACUUGGAUGAGACAUUUUACAGGCAAUUUCACAUAGUAGUCUGUGGCCUGGACUCUGUUGUUGCCAGAAGAUGGAUGAAUGGGAUGCUGUUAUCUCUGCUGAUUUAUGAAGAUGGUGUCCUAGAUCUCAGUUCCAUUAUUCCAUUAAUAGAUGGAGGCACAGAGGGCUUCAAGGGCAAUGCCCGAGUCAUUCUUCCAGGCAUGACAGCUUGCAUCGAUUGCACCCUCGAACUCUACCCUCCACAGAUAAACUUCCCGAUGUGCACUAUAGCCUCAAUGCCACGGUUACCAGAACAUUGCGUUGAAUACGUCCGCAUGCUUCUUUGGCCCAAAGAAAAGCCUUUUGGAGACGGUGUAGGCCUAGAUGGAGAUGACCCAACGCACAUCCAGUGGGUGUACCAGAAAUCUCUGGAAAGAGCAGCAGAGUUCAGCAUCACUGGGGUGACUUACAGACUCACCCAGGGGGUCGUGAAGAGAAUAAUUCCUGCUGUGGCUUCUACAAAUGCUGUUAUUGCUGCUGCUUGCGCCACCGAGGUUUUUAAAAUUGCCACGAGCGCCUAUGUUCCCUUGAACAACUACCUGGUGUUCAAUGAUGUGGAUGGGCUGUACACGUACACCUUUGAGGCUGAGAGAAAGGAGAAUUGUUCUGCCUGCAGUCAGGUGCCACAGGACCUACAGUUCCCACCUUCAGCUAAACUACAGGAGAUUCUGGACUACUUGACUGAGAAUGCCUCUCUCCAAAUGAAGUCUCCUGCCAUCACGACAACUUUGGAUGGAAAAAACAAAACUCUGUAUUUACAGACCGUAGCAUCUAUUGAAGAGAGAACGCGACCAAAUCUAAACAAAACGCUGAAAGAGCUUGGACUAGUCGAUGGACAGGAACUGGCAGUGGCUGAUGUCACCACUCCUCAGACGGUGCUCUUCAAGCUCAACUUCAUCUCAUAGGACAAAUGCUUCGUCCUUAUAGACAGUUACAAGUGGUUAAUGCAGUCAUCAUCAAAAUGAAGCAGCCUUGGAAAUGUAGUUUAUAAACUCAACAUAUCAGCAGAGACAUCACAUGCUCGGCUGGAAUCGCUGCAGUUUGUAUUUAGAUUUUAUGGUCAACUCUGUCCAUCAAAGACACUUACCAGAGACAUUUGUUUCGUUGUCUUGCACUGCUGUAGUCGUAGGAGACAUUUUGGUGGAUUUCUUUAUCUAUUUAUUUUGCUGUUGUGCAUUCACAGUAUCUUGUUCAGUGUCUUGUAGAAAAAAAGAUUCAUGUUUUGAAUUCAAUUUGGAAACCAUAUUUUAAACAAGUAUUGAAGUCCUAGUCCAGUAAUGCUUUCCUAUACAUUUACUUUUACUCAAUUUGUGAAUAAAUAUAUUUGAUUAAAUAUUUAAAGAGACUGAAGGUAUUAAACUAUUAUAAAUUCUCUAGAAUUAAAAUAGACUUUUUGUAAGCAAACGCAGAAUGUUGCAUUAUCAAUGUAAUGUUAAGAAAGAUAUUAGGUAUACUGUACUGUUUUAUUUGUUUUAUGUGGCAUUGUUAUGUAAUACAGGUUUGUAGAAAUACAGUGGAGACACUUAUUCGCAAGGUCAGAUUGGCCUUAGUGACUAAGUUUUUUCAGCCACAGCACCACAUACUA